AGCGAACGUUAGCGGCGCGCCUAACACAUGCAAGUCGCGCGAGAAAGGGGGCAACCCCCGGUACAGUGGCGCACGGGUGAGUAACACGUGGGUGAUCUGCCCAGAAGAAGGGGAUAACCUCUCGAAAGGGGGGCUAAUACCGCAUAGGACCACCGGGGUUUUGGCUCUGUGGUGAAAGGGGGCCUCUGUUUACAAGCUCCUGCUUCUGGAUGAGCCCGCGUCCCAUCAGCUAGUUGGUAGGGUAAUGGCCUACCAAGGCUACGACGGGUAGCUGGUCUAAGAGGAUGGCCAGCCACAUUGGAACUGAGACACUGUCCAGACUCCUACGGGAGGCAGCAGUGGGGAAUCUUGCGCAAUGGGCGAAAGUCUGACGGAGCAACGCCGCGUGAGUGAUGAAGGCUUUCGGGUCGUAAAACUCUGUUGUUAGGGAAGAACAAGUACAAGAGUAACUGCUUGUACCUUGACGGUACCUAACCAGAAAGCCACGGCUAACUACGUGCCAGCAGCCGCAGUAAAAC
rnacentral:rRNA from 1 species